AAAUGAAUCGGUGAUGGAGCUCACCUUAAACCGCCAACGUGUUGGCUAAUGGCUCCUGCGAAUGG
rnacentral:ncRNA from 2 species